rnacentral:rRNA from 1 species
ACGCUCGACACUACGGGGGCAGCAGUGGGGAAUAUUGCACAAUGGGGGAAACCCUGAUGCAGCGACGCCGCGUGAGUGAAGAAGUAUUUCGGUAUGUAAAGCUCUAUCAGCAGGGAAGAGAAUGACGGUACCUGACUAAGAAGCCCCGGCUAACUACGUGCCAGCAGCCGCGGUAAUCUGAGCGGGCUGGCAAGGC